rnacentral:rRNA from 1 species
UACGUAGGGGGCAAGCGUUGUCCGGAUUUAUUGGGCGUAAAGAGCUCGUAGGCGGUUUGGUAAGUCGGGUGUGAAAUCUCCACGCUCAACGUGGAGGGGCCACUCGAUACUGCCAUGACUCGAGUCCGGUAGAGGAGUGUGGAAUUCCCGGUGUAGCGGUGAAAUGCGCAGAUAUCGGGAGGAACACCCGUAGCGAAGGCGGCACUCUAGUACGGUACUGACGCUGAGACGCGAAAGCGUGGGGAGCAAACAGG